AAGAAGAAGAUUAAUACUUAAAUAUGUAUAAGUUUGUUUGGGUAAAAGAUUGAAAAUACCCACAUGUCCCUAUAAGGAAAUACGUUAAACAAUUACCUUUUCCCCCUAAGCUUAUUAUCUUUUAGGGAAAUAUGUUUAAAAACUCCCAUAUUUGUUAAUCCUCAAAAGAUAAUGACAUGAAACUAUGUCCCUAGAAAAUCAGAGCUCAAUGUAAAUAUACAAGAUAAUAUAGUACCUGUGCUCAGCUACCUAGAAAUAUGGAGUUACUUACAUACAUCCACUUUAUAACAGUUAUUGAUAUAUUAAUUAUGUAUAAGCAUUCUUUUAACCAGCAGUGCAUAUCGCUAAACUCUGUGUCUCUGUUAUUUGAAGAACUUCGAAAAAUGAUUCGAGUGGUAGGCAUGCAUUUAAAGGACCAAGUUUUUUGUUCAUGCAUCAGUUUUUCACCUAAAUCACCUUCUUUAGGAAAGUAAAUCAAUGUGAAUUGUUUUGUUGGUUGAAUUUAGGUAGGGUUCUCUUUAUGUGCACUACUAACAGCUAAUAGCAAGAUAUCCCUAUAAGGAAGAAUAUCUGCUGCUAUGCCUGUGAAUAAAUCUAGAUAUCAUGCCAUUUCAGCAUCCAGAUCUUUAUAUAAGCAGCUUCCUUUCUUCUUAGAAUCCCAAGCCUCUUUUAAAGUGGAAGGCUCUGUUGAUUUCCCACUGCAGAGAUGAUAAGGUAAUUAAAGUGGUGGAGAUGAGAUCCAGAAUAACCAUAUUUACAUCCCACCUUAGGUGUGGGUGGUAUGGGAUCGAAGCUGAAAUCAGUAAGUAAGCAUUCACUAAAAUAUUUCAGUUUUCAGCACUGCUAGGCUAUAUGAAUGUCUGUUUAAAUAGGACUCCAAAAGACAGAAUUUAGGCAUGGAUGGAAUAUAUGUAUUUUAUUAGCUAUUUAUUAUAUGUGUGCCCUCACUUUUAAUGCGCAUAAGAUCUGCUAUCGGUUUUAUUCUUAUUGUAGAUGAAUGAUUAUACAUAUGUGACAUUUUGAUAUGGUUUUAUUUUGCUCAUUUACUGGUCAAAUGGGAGGAUCUGCACGAGAUAACGUCUGGAUAUGUAGUGUAAAUUUUUUCGAUGCCACUAUACAUUUUGUUAAUAGGAGCUAUCUCACCCAUUUGCCGGCAGAUAGUACUCUUUCAGAAAAUAUAGGAGAAAAAACAUGUACAUUUGUAAAAAAGGGAUUCAAUUGAUGAAGAGAAAUUAGAAUUCUUUAUGAUGGUUUGGACAUGUAACAGGAAGAUCAAAGAGUAUACUUAUGGGAGAAAUCAUUAGAUUCAAGUUGAAGAACUGCUAAGAGUAGGGUGGGUCAAAACAUAUCUGGAUUGACGCUGUAAAUGGACACACGCAGGUGCUAAUUUCGCAGGAUAACUCCUUUUUGCCUUGUUGGGUAGAAUGGAACGAAAAAUUAAUCAUGUACACAACAUUUUGACAACGAGCCGAAGACUGUUUCAUUGUCGUGGUUUUAAUUGUGUUUUUUUACUAUGUGGGAAUAGAUAAUACAGUGCAGAGCUCUAUGAGAAGGUUUUGUUGCCAAGUUUUCUUAUAGAGGAAUAAUCAGGAUCAUUCAAUAGUAUGCAGCAAUUUGCCUUGCGAUUUUUCUAUCGCUGGCGGUGAUGCAAGAUAUGAGAUGACAGAUUGACCUGCAUAAACUAGAAUUUCCUCUCUAGACAAUAGCAACGGUAGUUAAAAAGAUGAUUUAACUGUCAAACAUCGUCACACCAAAUUCUUCUCCAAUUUCAGGAGGCCAUCAGGUACUGGUGCAACUUUAGACCAUUGUUCCAAGGGUGGAGCUCCCUGAUCAUCAAAAACAUUAAGAAGAAACUGAACGUACUUUAUAGCUGUAACAGAAACUUCAUAGUGGUUACAAUGAUGGUUGGUGCAUGGUUCUGUAUUCUUCAGUGUGCAGGCCUUUAUAUAAGCAGACUCUCUUCCUCUCAGAACGCCAAACCUCUUUUCAAGUGAAAGGGUAUGUUAAUUCCCCACUGCAGGGAUGACAAGGCCAUUAAACUGGCGGAGUCUAGAUGCUGCAUAACCCUAUGUACGUCCCACCUUAGGUGUAGAUGCCAUGGGUCUGAAGCUGCAUUUGGUAAGUAAACAUUCGCUAAAAUAUUUCAGUUUUCAGCAUUGCUGGGUUGUAUGAGUAUCUGUUUAAAUAGGAUUUCAGAGACAAGGAAUUCAGGCAUGGAUGGAAUAUAUGUAUAUUGUACUUAUUUGUUAUAUGCGUGCACACACAUUUAAUGUGUAUAAGAUUUGGUAUCAUUUCUGUUGUUAUUGUUGAUAAAUGACUGUGCAUGUAUGACAUUCUGAUAUGGUUAUAUUUUGUUCAUUUACUGGUCAAAUUGGACGAUCUGCGUUAAUGUAAAUGUUUUUUUUAUGCCAUUGUACGGUAUAUUUGUGUAGUGUUUAAGAUAAAAUUCUUCAAGCGUUUGGGGCCUAUCUUUUGGCUAUACUGAAUGAUAAUUCUCAUAUCCAGUUGAAUUUAGGAAAUCUUCCUUUUGUACAUGCAAUUUUUGUUUGUUGCUAACUAUCUCAGUUUACUUUAAAUUCUAUUUGUAGAACCUUCAAUCUGGCAAGGGGUACGUGACCAUCAUACCAUGUAUGACUGUUGUGUCAUCUUGGGAAAUGUGGUUGGAUCAAAGCGAUGGAGUUCUGUUUAGCAUACUUUGCUGCUGCAUCAUUUUAGAUUGCAAGAAUCUCAGGUGAACUGCAAGUUGAUUUGCCAUUUUGUUGGCCUGGCUACAUCAGCGACUCCUCCCUUGCACAUUUCGGUUCUCCUCAGUGGUACGGGUCCCAAAGCAUCGUCAUUCCCAUAUUCAAGAGUUGCAUGGAGCUAUGGCUUUACGUGAGGAAUUUUGUUAAGAUUUGGCAUUUGUUUGAAGGAGUGAGAGGCUGAAUAAUGUUUGGUUGAAGAAGACAGAGGAAUCGGGGUGAGAUUCGAACUGUGGUGAUAUAUGAUAUUUCGCUUAGUUUGGUAUAUGCUGAUGUUGUAUGGUAUGGUUGAUUUGUGUUGUUGAUUAAUGUAUUGUUGAACUUGGUUAGUGGUAUAUUAGUAAAUCAGAGACACAUUCAGUAGGCUUUUGUUCUCUCUUCUAUCAGUUCUAUGUAUCAAUCCAAUUGGCGUCUUAGUUCUGUUAAACUUUUGCUUCAUGUUUCUGAACAUGUCAAGAUGUUUGGUUUACUUGAUAGAGAAACAUUGUU